AAAUGUAUUUGUUUUUCUGAGAAUUAAAGAAAGGAUGGUCAAAAAUUCGUUUGAGCGACUCUUAAAAAUCAUGCAUAUAUAUGAUUGUAAACUGGACAGAGGUAAUCCCCAUACCAAGGCAAUAACGACCAUAAACAAAAUUACCUUUUUAUAAAACCGCAACCUUGGUGUCUAUAUUAUUUACUCAUCGGAGAGAAUUACACAGUUGUUUACAUUUUGUACACAGUGCAUAUUUAUCAUAUCGUUAAAAAACAAGAGUGCAUAUACAUAUAAAUGUUGUAUAAAUAGGAAUUUUAAUCUUGUACAAGAGUACAAGCCAUACAAACUUCAUAUUAUCAGCAUAAAACAGUAAAGUAUUAACAAUUAUGUCUCAAAGUACAUUUUUAACCGUACUAAUUUUCGUUGCAGUGCAUAAUGCUUUAGCUCUGAAGAAAGUAUUACCACUUGUUUGUGACAAACCUUUUGAAGAAUAUCAGUGCGGAAGUGCAUGUCAAACCACAUGUGAAACCCUUGGUGAACCUUGUCGAAUUAUAAACAUCAGAUGCAAUAGUGGUUGUUACUGCAUCGAUGGUUAUGCGAGGAAUAUUACGGGAGUUUGUAUUCCUCAAACACAAUGUUAACAACAAAUGUUAAUUAACAUAAGGCAGCAACCAAUUAAUUGCUGAUUCCAUCGUACAAUGAACUGACGAUGAGUUUAAGAUUAGUUUGUUGUCAAAUCAAGGGUAAAAAUGUAGAAUAUAUAUAUACUUAAAAACAA